ensembl:lncRNA
GGAAGGUGAGUCUGUCCUGCCCCAAGUGCAAGGGGCAGCUCACCGGGGCCGGCAUCCACAAAAGGGCACAGAAGGUCCUGGACGUGGACAGGUACUACCUGAUGGUGACGGAGACCCUCAGGUGCAACUCCUCCGGUUGCGUAUCAAAUUACCUGUCCAAGAGCCAGACCGUCCUGGACCAGCUGAGCUUGGCUCUUCGCGGGGAGUUCCGCCUCAUCCUGACCCGCAAGUAUGCGUGUGACAUCCGUGUCAUCCGGAUGCUACGGGAGAGGACCCUCGGCAACAGCUCCACACGCCUGGCCAAACAGCUGCGGGAGAACCACGGCGAGGAGUGGCUGCAGCGGUUGGCCCGCUACAUGGAGCUGGCCAAUGACUUUGCCCGCAGGCCCAGUCUCUUCCCUGUGGUCUGUCAGAGGCCCCCCGAGCCUAUCGCUGUCCCGACCAACAGGUGGCUCCUGACGGUGUACGGGAAGGACUUGAUGAGCCGUAUGGGUCACAUCAAGGCCAGCAUCACCUCCACCUUUGGCUCCAUUUUAAAAAUGGAUUCCACAAAGAAGAUGACCAAAAAGCUGGCUGGAGCCGCCAAGGGGACGGCGCUCUGGGUGUCCUCCGUCAGCAACGAGAAGGGGCAGGUCCUGAUCAGCGUCCUGACAGCCCAGGAGGGACCUGGACUGGACCGGAUGGUGACAGGCCUCAUCAGGCGCUACAGCGAGGCGGGCGUGGCUCCCCCUAUACUCCUUUAUGCGGACUGUGGCUGCUGCAAGGAGGCGGGAGGGGAGAGCGAGCUGAAGGCCAGGUUCAGCGGCUGGCCAGACCUCGUCAUCCGGCUGGACGCCUGGCACUUCCUUCGGCGGCUUGCGGCCGGAUGCACGACCGACGCCCACGCCCUGUACCCCGUCUUCAUGGCCAUGCUCUCCGUCUGCCUGUUCGAGUGGGACCCUGAAGAUGUGGCCCUUCUGCACCACGCCAAGAGGGAGGAGCUCCGGAGGGAGGGUGUGCCCGGCAUCUCCGAGGCUCUGGUGGACAGCUGAUUGACCAAGGCCCAGUUGGCGCUGUACUGCAGGCGGAGGACCCGCGGAGAGGAGGCCACCAUCCGCCAGGUGGAGGCCCUGCUGCAGGAGCUGAUAGGGGACAAAGGCAGGGACCUGCUGGGCGGUCCCCUCCUGGACCGGGUGAGGAUGGAGCACAUCUGGUGGGUUCAGAAGAGGCACGUCAAGUGCAUCCAGGACCUGCCAGGUGUGCCUCUGUACACAAAGACCGGCACCACCACCACCAAGGAGGGCGUCGUCCUCACCAAGUACAGCUCUACCUGCUGGACGGGCUGAACCGGUGGAACCAGGCCGGGCUGCUGCUGCUGUGGCUGAGAAGAUGUCCGCUCUCCUCAGCUACUCGGGGGAUCUGGUACAUUGUGCAAACACAUUUGGCACCAAUGUGUUUGGACAGAUGUUUGUCCCCUCUUUCCGCCUCCCCAGCAAGUACACUGGAGAGUUGAUAGGCAUCGACUACCUGUACAAGCAGACGGGGAAGUGCAUGCAAGACAUGGAUCCUGAGGGGGAGGAGACGGAGCAGCUGCUGGAGGACCUGGGCGACGAGGCAGAGGAUGAGGGCUUCACAGACGACACCGAGGCUAGUCUGGAGGUCUUCUCUGCCCUCAUUUCGUUACCACCUGCUCAGCCCUCCACCAGUGGUUCCUGGUCCGCUGCUCCACCUCCUCCUUCUCCUCCACCACAACCACCUGCUCAGCCCUCCACCAGUGGUUCCUGGUCCGCUGCUCCACCUCCUCCUUCUCCACCACCACCACCACCUGCUCCACCCUCCACCAGUGGUUCCUGGUCCGCUGCUCCACCUCCUCCUUCUCUCCACCACCACCACCACCUGCUCCGCCCUCCACCAGUGGUUCCUGGUCCGCUGUUCCACCUCCUCCUUCUCCACCACCUCCACCUGCGUCAGCUGCUGUCACCGCUCCGGGUGCCACCCCACAGGUUCCUGUUGAGCAGCUGGCAGUGGAUGAAAACAACAUCCCGGGCCUGGACAGGGUGCACCGCCUAGCUGAGUAUCUGGUGGGGCUGAGGAGCCAGACCAGCCUGGCCCUCAGCAACCGGGACGUUGGCAUCAUCGUCGGCCUGUGGGAGGACCUGCUGCCCUACGACCAGCAGAAGGCGGUGUACGCUGCACGGCACCAGGACAGGCUGCUGACGGGGCGCUUCAGGUCGCCUAAGAAGAAGGGAGAGUUCACGUCGGGUGUGGACAGUUUGCGGAGAUGCACCAUAACAGCGAGUGCAUCUCCUGCACAGUGGCCCUCAUGCUGCCGCCUGGUAGAUGCCAUCUGUGUCAGGCUCUGCACCCUCCACCCUUCCCCUACCAAGAAGGGGAAGGGGUACCUCUCAAGGUGGAGUCUGAUCCUGAGAGACUACCGCAGGAUCAGGCAGCUCAUCCUGGCCAACGGGGCCGUGAUGUCCACCACCAGCCUGCAGCUGGUUGAGGUGAACCAGACCACACUCAUCCAGUGGCACAAAGGAGGGUGGCCAGGCAGGGUGUCUCCGUGUUGUGCCAGGGUGUGGACCUGCCUGCCCCCGUGCCUGUUGCCCCCGUGGUCUUACCUCCGGGUAUGGACCGCCCCGAUGUGGCUCCUCAAACCCUGGGCCUGGUGAAACAUUCCUACCACCUCCCGGAGAGCACAGCGGGGCGGGCCAAAAUGAACCGGAGGGCCACAGCCACUGCCACCGCAGCCGUAGCACCAGCACCAGCACCGGCACCAGCACCGGCACCAGCACCGGCACCAGCACCGGCUGUGAGGCCCAAGAUAAAGACAGCCCAGAGGCGGCUGUUUCCCUGUCCUCCCACCCCUGCCCCUGUCAUCAGCAGCACCCCUGCUCCAUUUGUUUUUGCCCUCCCCCGGGCCCCUGCUCCAUUUGUUUUUGCCCUCCCCCGGGCCCCACCUCUCUCCGGCACUCCUGCCCUCACCCAAUCCCUCCCUAGCACACCAUUCCUCCCGGUCAACCCCCUGUUGCGCUACCCUCACGCCCAGCCCCCCAUUAUGUUUGCUGUCCCCUCAGCAGUGCCUCCCC